AGGAUGAACGCUGGCGGCGUGCUUAACACAUGCAAGUCGAACGAUGAAGGAGGAGCUUGCUCCUCCAGAUUAGUGGCGAACGGGUGAGUAAUACAUGAGCAAUGUGCCCUUGACUCUGGGAUAAGCGCUGGAAACGGCGUCUAAUACCGGAUACGACCCUCGGAGGCAUCUCCUGAGGGUGGAAAGAACUUCGGUCAAGGAUCAGCUCAUGUCCUAUCAGUUAGUUGGUGAGGUAAUGGCUCACCAAGACGACGACGGGUAGCCGGCCUGAGAGGGUGACCGGCACACUGGGACUGAGACACGGCCCAGACUCCUACGGGAGCAGCAGUGGGGAAUAUGCACAAUGGGCGAAAGCCUGAUGCAGCAACGGCCGCGUGACGGGACGAAGGCCGUUCGGUUGUAAACCUCGUUUUAGCGUAGGAAGAAGCGGAAAGUGACCGUACGUGCAAGAAAAGCGAACCGGCUAACGUACGUAGACCGAGACCAGACCGGCGUAAAUCGUA
rnacentral:rRNA from 1 species